rnacentral:tRNA from 1 species
AGGACCGUAGCUCAGGGGGAGAGCGCUUGCUUGACACGCAAGAGGUCGGGAGUUCAAAUCUCCCCGGUCCUACCA